rnacentral:rRNA from 1 species
UUUGAACGCUGGCGGCAUGCCUUACACAUGCAAGUCGAACGGCAGCACGGACUUCGGUCUGGUGGCGAGUGGCGAACGGGUGAGUAAUGUAUCGGAACGUACCUUUCAGUGGGGGAUAACGUAGCGAAAGUUACGCUAAUACCGCAUAUUCUGUGAGCAGGAAAGCAGGGGAUCGAAAGACCUUGCGCUGAUUGAGCGGCCGAUAUCAGAUUAGCUAGUUGGUGGGGUAAAGGCCUACCAAGGCGACGAUCUGUAGCGGGUCUGAGAGGAUGAUCCGCCACACUGGAACUGAGACACGGUCCAGACUCCUACGGGAGGCAGCAGUGGGGAAUUUUGGACAAUGGGGGCAACCCUGAUCCAGCCAUGCCGCGUGAGUGAAGAAGGCCUUCGGGUUGUAAAGCUCUUUCGGCCGGGAAGAAAUCGCAUAGGCUAAUACCCUGUGUGGAUGACGGUACCGGAAUAAGAAGCACCGGCUAACUACGUG